GAACUGAAACAUCUCAGUACCCGGAGGAAAAGACAUCAACCGAGAUUCCGUUAGUAGUGGCGAGCGAACGCGGACCAGGCCAGUGCCUCAUCUUCAACUAGCAGAACACUUUGGAAAGAGUGGCCAUAGCGGGUGACAGCCCCGUAUGCGAAAGUGAUGGAUGAGGACUUGAGUAGGGCGGGACACGUGAAAUCCUGUCUGAACAUGGGGGGACCACCCUCCAAGCCUAAAUACUCGUACAUGACCGAUAGCGAACACAGUACCGUGAGGGAAAGGUGAAAAGCACCCCGAUGAGGGGAGUGAAACAGUACCUGAAACCGAAUGCCUACAAGCAGUUGGAGCCUCUUUAGGGGGUGACAGCGUACCUCUUGCAUAAUGGGUCAGUGACUUAAUUUAUCGAGCAAGCUUAAGCCGUUAGGUGUAGGCGUAGCGAAAGCGAGUCUGAAAUGGGCGACUGAGUUCGAUGAAUUAGACCCGAAACCCGGCGAUCUAGGCAUGACCAGGCUGAAGGUGCGGUAACACGCAC
rnacentral:rRNA from 1 species